GCAAAAUCUACAAAACAGCGUUGAAUAGGCAUUAAAACAAUAACUUCACAUUGCACAUUUUUGUACUAACAGCCGACAGCACCGGGGAAGGGCAGCACACGAUAUUUAAACCAAGAUAGCGCGAGCAUUUUAUGUCCCCGUGCUGUCGGCUCAACCACUAGGCAAGUCAGUUGCGAAAAGAAGCCAACAAUUGCAUCGAAUUUUUUUUGUAAGCGGACUUCCCCACCUAACUUAAGCUCAUGGCGGCGCAGUAUUAGGCGAUGACGGUAACAGGGGAAGCUAAAUGAAGGCUACGUCCAGUGUUGUGUGUCAUCCUGAAAUGGAAGUUAUUCCAGAAUCAUUCCGGCUUUUUUCGAGGCCCGCGGAUUGAAUGUUAAUCACCAACAUGGAGGAGACCCUGAGCUCCUGCAUGUGGAAGCAAAGAAGCAAAGUUACACCUCCCAAUUCUUCAUUGAAAGCGAAUUCUUGUGUUGUUUUGCACUUUGCCCUUCUGAACGUGCAGUGCCCAGCUGACCACUUCAUGACUUCAUCACGACAGUGACUGGUCUACUGCGUCUGCCCUCUACUGGCCAAUUUCCAACAUAUAAGCAAGCAUCGUUGGCACUGUCUCUAACUUUUGGCAGCAGUGGUUGCGGUCAUGAGAAAGUCGCUAAUCUACUCCUACUUUUGCCACAGCAUAUGUGCAACCCAAGAAUACCCAACCCAACCUGAACUUCUGUGGCCACGUCACUCAAGCACAGCGGACUAACCUGUAUGCUGCUGUGUAUGGCAGGCAUAAGAGAAGGACUAACAGCCACAUAAUUAUAAAAAGUCGCUACAGGCUGUUAUUGUGGAAGCACUUCAAAACGUCAACACACUAUCUGAAUCAAGUAUGUUGCCAUUAUUGUAACUAAAUUCAGUCAGUAAUUGAGGCUGAAGAUGGUUUUAUUUAGCAGUCCUAAAAGAAAGCAGCGAAAGAAACACUGUAAAAUAUUUCGAAUGAA